AUUGAACGCUGGCGGCAUGCCUUACACAUGCAAGUCGAACGGCAGCACGGGUGCUUGCACCUGGUGGCGAGUGGCGAACGGGUGAGUAAUGCAUCGGAACGUAUCCGGAAGUGGGGGAUAACGUAGCGAAAGUUACGCUAAUACCGCAUAUUCUGUGAGCAGGAAAGCAGGGGGACCGCAAGGCCUUGCGCUUUCGGAGCGGCCGAUGUCGGAUUAGCUAGUUGGUGGGGUAAAGGCCUACCAAGGCGACGAUCCGUAGCGGGUCUGAGAGGAUGAUCCGCCACACUGGGACUGAGACACGGCCCAGACUCCUACGGGAGGCAGCAGUGGGGAAUUUUGGACAAUGGGCGCAAGCCUGAUCCAGCCAUGCCGCGUGAGUGAAGAAGGCC
rnacentral:rRNA from 1 species